GGUUCUCUGUGCUCCAGAACCACACGUGACCCCGCGGAGAUGACCGUCCUCAAGGUCAGCAACGUGUUACCAAUUUCACCUGAUUACUGUGUGCAGAAUACGGAAAGCCUAGGUGUGGUCCCCGAGGGUAAUCUCCAAAGGGUGCGUCUUCCGUGGCCCAGCUCGGAUUUCAACCCCGCGUGCUUGCUCAUAGCGCCCCAGCCUCCACGUCACGUUCUUUACGAGUCAACGGUGCAUUUACUGAAAGCAGAGUCAGCCCUCUGUUAGGACGCACGUGUGAGAGUGGGUUUCUGCCUGGCGCAAUUCGAUAUACCGGCUAUUAAGCCACCGAAAGACGGCUGAGGUCUAGAGGGAGAACUCGACGCCAAUGUCAUAUUCGACAGAGACCGCGGCAACCCGUAUGCCUCGCGGACGGCAGAGGGGAGCUUCGGAAAAUUCAUUCCACGUGUGACGGGAGACCCCCAACUGUGGGAAUGGGCGCGAGGACUGGAAGAUGCACUCCCCGAAGACCUGAGCGCCUGCUGCUGUCUCCCUCUGACGUCUGCGGCACGAGGCUUUGUCACGUGCGGCCACGGCCUGGCUGACACGGAGCGCCAGUGCCCAGACGCUGCGAAGAGAGAGAGAGAGAGUGCAUACGAGCAGGGGAGGAGCAGAGAGAGAG